GCAGCCGCCGCGGUAAGACAGAGGAUGCAAGCGUUAUCCGGAAUGACUGGGCGUAAAGGGCGCGUAGGCGGCGAUCAAAGUCAGGCGUGAAAUUCCUGGGCUCAACCUGGGGGCUGCGCUUGAUACUGGGUUGCCUGAGUGGGGAAGAGGGUCGUGGAAUUCCCAGUGUAGAGGUGAAAUUCGUAGAUAUUGGGAAGAACACCGGUGGCGAAGGCGGCGACCUGGUCCUUUACUGACGCUGAGGCGCGAAAGCGUGGGAGCAAACAGGAUUAGAUACCCCUGUAGUCCCUGUCUCUUAUACA
rnacentral:rRNA from 1 species